UACGGAGGGUCCAAGCGUUAUCCGGAAUCAUUGGGUUUAAAGGGUCCGCAGGCGGUCAAUUAAGUCAGAGGUGAAAGCCCAUCGCUCAACGAUGGAACUGCCUUUGAUACUGGUUGACUUGAGUUAUACGGAAGUAGAUAGAAUAAGUAGUGUAGCGGUGAAAUGCAUAGAUAUUACUUAGAAUACCGAUUGCGAAGGCAGUCUACUACGUAUAUACUGACGCUGAGGGACGAAAGCGUGGGGAGCGAACAGGAUUAGAUACCCUAGUAGUCC
rnacentral:rRNA from 1 species